rnacentral:rRNA from 1 species
CGCGGGAUUAGAGUUUGAUCCUGGCUCAGGAUGAACGCUAGCGGCAGGCUUAAUACAUGCAAGUCGAGGGGCAGCGCAGUGUAGCAAUACAUGGGCGGCGACCGGCAAACGGGUGCGGAACACGUACACAACCUUCCUUUAAAUGGGGAAUAGCCCAGGGAAACUUGGAUUAAUACCCCGUGACAUUAUGAGAUGGCAUCAUUUUAUAAUUAUAGCUCCGGCGUUUAAAGAUGGGUGUGCGGCUGAUUAGGUAGUUGGUGGGGUAACGGCCCACCAAGCCUUCGAUCAGUAACUGGUGUGAGAGCACGACCAGUCACACGGGCACUGAGACACGGGCCCGACUCCUACGGGAGGCAGCAGUAAGGAAUAUUGGGCAAUGGACGCAAGUCUGACCCAGCCAUGCCGCGUGGAGGAUGAAGGUCCUCUGGAUUGUAAACUUCUUUUCUCUGGGGCGAAAAACAGGUAUUCUUACUUGCUUGACAGUACCAGAGGAAUAAGCACCGGCUAACUCCGUGCCAGCAGCCGCGGUAAUACGGAGGGUGCAAGCGUUAUCCGGAUUCACUGGGUUUAAAGGGUGCGUAGGUGGGUUGGUAAGUCAGUGGUGAAAUCUCCGGGCUUAACCUGGAAACUGCCAUUGAUACUAUUAAUCUUGAAUACCUUGGAGGUGAGCGGAAUAUGUCAUGUAGCGGUGAAAUGCUUAGAUAUGACAUAGAACACCAAUUGCGAAGGCAGCUCACUACACGGUCAUUGACACUGAGGCACGAAAGCGUGGGGAUC